AUUGAACGCUGGCGGAAUGCUUUACACAUGCAAGUCGAGCGGCAGCGCGGGGCAACCUGGCGGCGAGCGGCGAACGGGUGAGUAAUGCAUCGGAACAUGUCCAUGUCGUGGGGGAUAGCCCGGCGAAAGCCGGAUUAAUACCGCAUACGCCCGAGAGGGGAAAGUGGGGGACCGCAAGGCCUCACGCGAUUGGGUUGGCCGGUGUGCGAUUAGCUGGUUGGUGAGGUAAAGGCUUACCAAGGGGAUGAUCGGUAGCUGGUCUGGGAGGAUGAUCAGCCAGACUGGGAGUGAGAAGCGGCACAGACUCCGACGGGGGGCAGCAGUGGGGAAUUUUGGACGAUGGGGGCAACCCUGAUCCAGCCAUUCCGCGUGAGUGAAGAAGGCCUUCGGGUGGUAAAGCUCUUUUGUCCGGAGCGAAACGGUGGCGGUGAAUAUCCGCCACUACUGACGGUACCGGAAGAAUAAGCACCGGCUAACUACGUGCCAGCCGCCGCUGUAAGAC
rnacentral:rRNA from 1 species